GACUUUUUGCUUUGUUCACAAAGCUUAAAGGAAGAGAAAUAUUAAUGAAAUUAUAAAUUCACUCUCCGAGGAAGUAAGCUUUAUCAGGUAUUCAAAGACCUAAGAAACUUUACUGGGAUCAAUAGGAAGCACUGAUCCAUCCCUCAACCUUGCCCAGACUUCUCCCUUGUGGCAGCUCCAGAGCUUUAACACUUCAGGUGGACUCUGUCUGGCUCCAGGAAACUGUGGGAACACUGCAAUGAAGGCCGGCAGUGCUUAUGAUGACUCCAGCAACGUACAGAGGGAGCAGAAGCAAUGAGAGAGGCAUUUGUCUGUGAAGAGGUAGAAAGACUCCACCCUUUUUGAGCAUUCUACACUUCUCAAGUGUCUGCCAUACUGAGUUGGGUGAAGAACACAGUACAUCAGCUGUAGGCACAAUAAAUUGUCACUGAAGAAGAGUACUCGUCUUUCUCAGAAGAAUGGGAGAAAAAGAUGAUGCUUUUGCUGUCACAGUUGUGGUCUGGAACAUAAUGCAA